GACGAACGCUGGCGGCGUGCUUAACACGUGCAAGUCGAACGGAAAGGCCCUGCUUUUGUGGGGUGCUCGAGUGGCGAACGGGUGAGUAACACGUGAGUAACCUGCCCUUGACUUUGGGAUAACUUCAGGAAACUGGGGCUAAUACCGGAUAGGAGCUCCUGCUGCAUGGUGGGGGUUGGAAAGUUUCGGCGGUUGGGGAUGGACUCGCGGCUUAUCAGCUUGUUGGUGGGGUAGUGGCUUACCAAGGCUUUGACGGGUAGCCGGCCUGAGAGGGUGACCGGCCACAUUGGGACUGAGAUACGGCACAGACUCCUACGGGAGGCAGCAGUGGGGAAUAUUGCACAAUGGGCGGAAGCCUGAUGCAGCAACGCAGCGUGCGGGAUGACGGCCUUCGGGUUGUAAACCGCUUUCGCCUGUGACGAAGCGUGAGUGACGGUAAUGGGUAAAGAAGCACCGGCUAACUACGUG
rnacentral:rRNA from 1 species